rnacentral:rRNA from 1 species
AACGAACGUUGGCGGCAUGGAUGAGGCAUGCAAGUCGCGGGAAUCCCCAGCAAUGGGGGGAACCGGCGUAAGGGGCAGUAAGGCGUAGGUACCUACCCCCAGGUCCGGGAUAGCCCGCCGAGAGGCGGGGUAAUACCGGAUGACCUCGGGAGAGCAAAGCUCCGGCGCCUGAGGCGGGGCCUACGUGAUAUUACCUAGUUGGCGGGGUAACGGCCCACCAAGGGGGAGAUGUCUAGCGGGUGUGAGAGCACGACCCGCGCCACUCGCGACUGAGACACUGGCGAGACACCUACGGGUGGCUGCAGUCGAGGAUCUUCGGCAAUGGGGGCAACCCUGACCGAGCGAUGCCGCGUGGGCGACGAAGGCC